GCUAGGCCCGAGCUUUCAGUGGAUUCAGCCGGUAGCUCAAGAGAGCCCUGCACUGUUCUAGAAGCCAAGGUAACGCUGAGUGCUAAUGGGUCCCGUCCUUCAGGAAACCGACUCGAUUUCGCUUAUUAGCUUUAGAGAGGUGACAAGAGGUCACCUCAGAGAAUCAAAACACUUCUUUCCAAGUACGGAAUAAGGACCUUCACCUUCAUAUCUUCAAAGGACUCUCUGUGUACUUUAAACCCUCACCAGCCCGGAACUUCCGCUGCACUUCCUGGUGCCUGGGCUACCCUAUUCAGCCUCAUCUCAGAAGAAAUGCCACUGUCUGGUUACAUGAACCAGGUCACUGAACCAGGUGUCUGACUAGUUACCGCUCCGAAGUUCCUUCUACUAACCCAGAGACAUAAAAUUGUUAUUUUGCAGUCCAACAAAGAAGCACCUUUUGGAGCAAAAACUGGACACCAUCUGUGUGGUUCACCCAACCUUAGUGUGCAGCCCCUUUGAAGUCAUGGCCACUGAAAAUGAAGACACAAACUUACGUCUUUAUAGCCUUUCUGCAAGGAAUGAUUCCUACAUCACUUUGGCCUUAACCUAGCAAUUUGUCACCUGUUUUUAUGGAGUCUAAAGCCACAUAAUUAUCAGGUCAGAUAUUCCAUCUGCCUUGGGCUACCAGCAGCCAGUAUCUGGGACUUCACUGAUUGUUCAGGAGAACAGAAGCAGUCAGCAGAGGAUUCACCAUCCCCAAAUAAAAUCACCACUGCACCCUUACUCACCAGAUCAGUGUGCCUUCCCAAGAAAGUAACUCACAAUAAAAGUCUCCUCCUAUGUCAUAUAUCACAGUAGAACCCAUGAUUUUUAAUAAAUUCAUCUUAAGGAAUAUAUAUUAAA